rnacentral:lncRNA from 1 species
GAUUAACCACUGAGCAUCCACAUCCAUCUGAGCUCAGAGACAGCACUGAGAAAGGCCUGACCCAGGAGUAAAUGACUUGAAAGCAUGUGCCAAAUUAGAGGCUUCCUGGUGACCUCUGGGUGAAAGCAUUUGACAGCAAAGAACUCAGGGACCUUCCUCAAGAGCCUGAAACCUGGCUGAUCAGGUUUCACUGUUAGCACGAAGAGAGCUUCAGGGUGGAGCCUGCCACCCUAUCGUUCUGCCACUCACACUGCUACUACCUGCCCCCUAGCUGUUCCGGAGCUAUCACGUGGUCACCUGAAACUGGACUCCAAGGAUGAUUUGGCGGGAACGGUCCCCUUCCCCUUCUUCAUAACCCAGUGUCUGGGAAUAGUAAAAUUGAACCUUGAUCAGAC